rnacentral:rRNA from 1 species
UACGAAGGGGGCUAGCGUUGCUCAGAAUUAUUGGGCGUAAAGGGCGCGUAGGCGGCUAGAUGUGUCAAAGGUGAAAUCCCUCGGCUCAACUGAGGAACUGCCUUUGAAACUGUCUGGCUUGAGGCCGGGAGAGGGUAGCGGAAUUCCCAGUGUAGCGGUGAAAUGCGUAGAUAUUGGGAGGAACACCAGUGGCGAAGGCGGCUACCUGGACCGGUUCUGACGCUGAGGCGCGAAAGCGUGGGUAGCAAACAGG